ensembl:rRNA 5S_rRNA 5S ribosomal RNA
GCUUACGCCAUACCACCACCAGGGCACGCCCGAUCUCGCCUGAUCUCGGAAGCUAAGCAGGGUCGGGCCUGGUUAGUACUUGAUGGGUGACCGCCUGGGAAUACCAGGUGCUGUAAGCA